GGAGAGGUGGUCGAGUGGUCUAUGGCACCUGAUUCGAAAUCAGACGUGGGGUAACACUCACCGUGGGUUCAAAUCCCACCCUCUCCGCCA
rnacentral:tRNA from 1 species